UACGUAGGGGGCAAGCGUUGUCCGGAUUUAUUGGGCGUAAAGCGCGCGCAGGCGGUCAUUUAAGUCUGGUGUUUAAGCCCGGGGCUCAACCCCGGUUCGCAUCGGAAACUGGAUGACUUGAGUAUAGGAGAGGAAAGUGGAAUUCCACGUGUAGCGGUGAAAUGCGUAGAGAUGUGGAGGAACACCAGUGGCGAAGGCGACUUUCUGGCCUAUAACUGACGCUGAGGCGCGAAAGCGUGGGGAGCAAACAGG
rnacentral:rRNA from 1 species